AGGGAGGGAGGGAGCGGCGAGGGCGGGGCCGACGCUCCUGUCUCCCUAUAUGGAGGGGACCCAGAACAAGCGGGGAGGCCCUCCUGACUCAGGGGAGGCGAAACGCACUCCCAAGACAACUCCCAAGGUGGGCGGCUGGGAAAGCAGAAUGGCCUGAGCCAGUCCUGGACUGAGGGAUGAAGACAGCUGUGUCCUUCCUCACAAGGAGGGGGCCGUCUUCGAGGCCCUUUCUGCCUGGGUGAUGGGAGGCUCACUCCCCGAUUGGGGCCUGAAUGAUGAGGGACACAAGGAGUUUACUUUGCCGGGGCCGGAUGAGAAGAGAAAACCUAAAAACCUUGUUAGCCACAGCGCCGCCCCCGACGACCACUGAGGCAAGACAAGGGCGAAAGUGCAAUAGUCUACCGCGUGUUAGGAGAAAAAAGCACCUAGGCCCUGGCUGCCACAUUUACUCCCUCUUCCCCUCCAGACUCUGCAACCUCUUCCCAGCCACACCCCCCUUAGCCCUCCUCGAGUCCUGGUCCUGUUCUGGGCAGGGCUCCCCAAGAAGAUACCGAGCGAGCCCUUGGCCACACUCUCCAGGACCGAGACCAACUCCUUUUCUUGUGCCCUUGAUGCCCUCCCCUCCCUAUCUGUCUGUCUGAUCUCUAUUUCCAGCCCUGGGCGCCUUCCUCUCCCGAGGCCAGAUGAACGUCCCCCACCAGAGUCAGUAUAUUUCACAAGCAUUGCAAAUUCAAGGCAUCUACAAACCUUCCGGUUUUCUUUCCAAAAACCCAGAUCUCUUUGGUGCUUCCCCAUUUCUGUUGAGAACACUGCCAUCACCCCAGUCACCAAGGUUUGAAAUCUCAGAGUCACAAAGUGGGAGAGACCUCAGAGGACUCCUCACCUGACCCACAUCCCAAAGGAAUCCUCACUAGAAGAAACCUGGCAAACGGUUGGCUUUGCUUUAGGACCUCGAAUGAGACCAAGUUGACUGGCAGGCCACUUGGGGAUGGCUCCAGUUAUCGGGAAGUCUUUCCCGCCAUGAAGGAGCCUCAGCCUCCAUCUCUGUCCCCAGUUCUGAGUUCUGCUCUCCGAGGGCCAAGCAGAACUAACAGCCUAAUCUGUUUUCCACAAGAUAGCCCUUCAGAUAUGGAAACAAGCUUUCCCGUCUUCCCCUGUUCUGCACCCCCCAUCCCCCCCCUCAGUGUUUUCUGUUCUCCAGGCUAAACAUCCUCUGCUUCUUAAACUGAUCCCCAUGUGACAUAAACUCGAGGCCCUACCCUGCCACACAAGUCCUUCUUAAACUACAGUGCCCGGAAGUGGAGAUAAUCCUGAAGAUGUGGCGCGACCAGGGCGAAAUGGAGUUGGCAUCCCAAUGUGAGCUGGUUCCCAGAGCUUGGAGGCCAUUCAGUCACCAAAUCUCUAUGGGUCCACCACUGUCGAUGUCUUCCCCCAUCCUUCACUUUAUUGUGUUGAUUCAGCCCAGAAUUCUAACCUAACUCUUUGGGGGGAUUCUGACUCUGUACUUCUAGCUUUGUGUCAUCUCCAGAUCUGCUGAGCAUCCAAACGUUUUUGUUCAAUUCACCUGAUAAAGAAAGGUGAAGCAGCCAAGGGCUCAGCACAGAGCCCUGGGGCACUCCAUUGGAGACCCCCCUACCAAGCUGACAUUGAACCCUUACAGAUUUCUUUUAGGCUCUGGCCAGCCAGCUAGUUCUGAAUCCAUUUGAAAAGUGUGUUAUUGUCUAGUUCAUGCCUCUCCAUCUCCUCCUUAAGAAAACUCUGAGACACAUCACCAAAUGUCAGCAAAUUCUAUCUACAGCAUUCCUGACGACACCAGGUCAGUAAUCAUAUGAAAAGGCGGCAUUGUACUUAGUCUGGCUUGUUCUAUGCUUGAGGAAGCCAGUCUUGUGCUCUGAAAUCACCACUUCCCUUUGAAGGUGGAUGUCCCCCACUCAACUCAUUGGCCUGUGUCUUGCAGCCUGGUUGGCUCUGUUCCUUCCUGGAAGAUCAGAAUGCUUGCCUUUUCUCUCCAAUCUGCUGGUACCUCAUCCAUUUCCCAUUAUCUUCCAAAUAUCAGGGACAGUGGCUCAGCAAUUAUGUCUGCCACUUCUUCCAAGACCCAAAGAUGCCAUUCGCACUAACCAGGUGACAAGAGCAACUUGGCAUUGUCUUACUGUCUCCUUGGCUUAAGUGACAAUAGCUCCCAGUUAGCCAUUUCUGUCUGGAAGGUCGUGUUCCUUGGCUGAGAAAAAAAGCAGCUUCAACACAUCUAAAACACACAUCUGACUGCGUCACUUUCCUAGUCACAAUUCCUCUUUCCUCUAGAAUCCAAAUCAAACUCUUCGGGUUGGCUUUUCCAGCCCUUUCCAACUUACCUGCAAUUACCUUUCCACGUCUCUGAGACGUGGGCUUCAAUGGGCUGGCAUCCCCCCGUUCCUGGCCUACUUUUUCUUCCCCUCUGCUAUGCCAAUCCCCAUUCUCAUCAAGGCUUAGCUCAGAUGCCGUAGCUUUCCUGCAUGAAGCUUCCAUGCCUUCCCUGAUCUCCCCCAGGGAUUACUUCAAAUUCGUCUUUGUCUACCCUUAACCCCUGAACCUCUAGUCCUAUAGCACUAUAUUUGUCAUCAGACUCUUAACUCCUACCGGAGCUAUCGGAUCCCUUUUCUCACUGGUGAGUUCCUGUAGGAAACUCCAUCCUCAUUUGGAGAAAAGGCUCAGACCAAUCCUGCCUCCCUUUCUAGACUCUGCUAGUCCCCUCUUGUGCCCUUUUUGUCUCAUCUUCGGUUGCUUGUUCCCCACCCCCAGCCCAGCUAUUCCACCGAGCUGGGACUUAACACAGAGUAGGAGCUUCAAAUAUGCUCCCUGACUUUGACUGGUGCACAAGCACAUCGUGUCUGUUAGACAAAAUUGGGAGACAGUGACAGAAAGGCACAUCCCAGCUGGAGGGAAGGCGGAGCUUAAGUUACUGGGCAGCUUGGGAGCCCCCUGUCACUAGACAUCUGUUUGUGGAAACUUUAGCUCCAGCUGAAGGCUAGUCGCUGCUCAGGUCCAGGGUGGGCUCCGCAUUCCUCACCUCAGACACUUACCAAGCGAUCCGGAACAAGUCGCUUCGCCUGUCUGCCACAGUCUCCUCAACUAUAAGGAUGCUGCCUCCCCCCCUCUCCGUGGAAUGUGAACCCCUGGAAGGCAGGAUCCAUCUUUUUUGGUGGCCCAAAAGCAGAGCUGAGUGGAGCACAGGUUCUGCUGGCUGACAUACAGGAAGAACUGAAUAAAUGCUUGGUGGAUGGAAGCGAUCGAGACUGUCCCAAACUUUUUUACAGAGUUCUGGGGCCCCAGCUGCUUGCCUUGGCCAGCUCUACCCCAGGGAGGUGUUUCCAAGACUGCCACCCAACCCCCUCCAGGCCCUCUCCUUCACAUCGCUGUGUGGGUAGCAUGUCACCUGGUGGCAGUGCACACUGGUGUUUGCCUGUUGUAUGCUCUUCGUACUGGAGGAGGACCGAAAUGGCAUCACGAUGUUGGGGUCAAGGUACAGUGCAUUCGGCUGGGGCUGAUCAGACCAACACGAGCUCAGGUGGAGCACAGAUAGUCCGUGUGAACGUCUGGAAUGCGGAUAGCUCGAAUCGCGCAUCUCACUCUUGUUUUGAGUGGCUACAGUUUUGCUUCACUCAGACAGCACAGCACCUUCUUUGAUGCAGGCACACCAUGCUGGACAGUCUUUUACCAGUGUCUCCCACAUCAUGAAACCAAUUCCAAAAUUGUUCAGAGAGACCUUGAGAGUGUCCUUUUAUCACUUCUGACUUCCGUGUGAGCGCCUGCCUUGCGUGAAUUCUCCGUAAAAUUGUCUUUCAGGCAAAUGUAUGGCAUUCGAACAACACGGCCAGCCCAUCAGAGUUUCGAUCUCUGCAGUAGAGUCUGACUGUUCGGCAGUUCAGCUCAAGAAAGGACCUUGGUGUCUGAUACUUUAUCUUGCCAGGUGAUCUUCAGAAUCUUUCUGAGACUAUUCGAGUGAAAGCAGCUCAGCUGCUUCUCUGUGAUCCCACAGAGAAUCUUAGGAAAAUAAUAUUCUAAACUGUUGUUGCCCUUACUGACAUCUCCCACCGCGCCAAGAUAAUCUCAUUCAGUGGCUGAUAUGGUUUCUAGGCUCUUGGCCUUCUUGUUGGGGAAAUUACUGAAUGCCAGUUCAGCAUCUAGAGAGGAAGUGGAAAUUCUGCCUUUCAGUGUCUGUGCCUUUAAUCCAUUUCUGUAUUUUUGAUUCUUUAGGUUAAAUGGGAGCUCUUUAAAUAUCAGCCACCCUUUCUUUCUUGUUCUUCUCA